UCCCGCAACGAGCGCAACCCUUAUCCUUUGUUGCCAGCGGUCCGGCCGGGAACUCAAAGGAGACUGCCAGUGAUAAACUGGAGGAAGGUGGGGAUGACGUCAAGUCAUCAUGGCCCUUACGACCAGGGCUACACACGUGCUACAAUGGCAUAUACAAAGAGAAGCGACCUCGCGAGAGCAAGCGGACCUCAUAAAGUAUGUCGUAGUCCGGAUUGGAGUCU
rnacentral:rRNA from 1 species